AUGCUCCGCAGAGAACUCUGUGGCUGUGUGCACCUUGAGUCAGCAGAGCACAGAAUUUGGGGUACACCUUCCUUUCUUCCCUGCCCGAGAGCCUUUCCAAAAGGAAACAAAAUAUAUGGGACCAGUGCACUGCUGAAAAUUCAGAUAACCUUAACUAGGCUAUGGUCCAUUUCUACUUAUGGAAAAUGGGAUGUCAGAAUUAAGGGACAGCUCUGGAAGAAGGAAAUACAUCUUCAUAUAGAACUCUGAAAUAUGUACAGCGCUAAGGAUUAGGAAAGAAGGAAGAAGAAAACAUUAAGCAACGCUCACAAAUAUCAGCAUCUAUGACAAAGGUUUGCUGGGCAUCUUACUGCAGAACAGGCAGCUCCUCCUCUAAGAGUAUGGGGGCAAGGCUUGAAAGUGUAAGGUAAGAGUUUGUGUCACAGUACUGAAAUAUGGACCUGACAAUAAGGUAAAGAGGUGCCAAAAGGGGCAACAGUUUAGUGAAAUCCUUGGGAUAGCAGCAGUCAGUGCCCCACAGGCCACCUGGAUCCACCUAGUUUACUUUCUGUGCCAGGGAAGUCAGACACUUGUGCAGGCAAGACCAAGCAGGCACAGAUGGGCACAGGGCUGUGGGCAACCCCCACCCCACCCCAGAGCCAGACUCCACUGUCACCUCUUUGAGGAAGGGUGCCAUUUGAACACAAGGUCUUGAGGAACUGCUGUGAAGACAGCCACACGAACCUGAGAUGGACGCCUUCAGCCCUCUCUUCUCCCUGCAGCCCAGACAGCUGGUGCCACUGCUUGGCCACCUGCUGCUUCUCCCCUAGCUACUCCCAGCCAACACCCACAACAUGGGACAGAGCAAAGUCCAUCCCUUCAGUCUUCCUAGCCUACACAACAUGGACAUCAGAUAAAAAAAAAACACAUACUAAUCACAAAUAAACUGAAUGCUGGCUAAAGGAACUUUUUUAAAACAUAAAGGCUAAAGGACAAGCAUCCAGGCUUUGCAAGCAAAUGAUUGCCCAAAGUUUAAAAAACUGUUGUCAAGUAUUUACACCUUUGUGGGAGUCAGCCUGACCUGUGCUCCAGGUCAGCCAACCACUACUGAAGAAGACCUGUACCCCAACCCUAGGCCCUGGGAGGCAUUUGUUGGAGUUGGGAUGGGCUCAGCCACCCCAUGGCUACUGCAA
rnacentral:lncRNA from 1 species